GACUGGUAGGAAGGUAGUGAGUUAUCACAUUUAAUUGUUCACAGUCAGUUACAGAUCAAACUCCUUGUUCUACUCUUUCCUCCCUUGUCAUUACUGUACUUGACUAGUCUUUA
rnacentral:Y_RNA from 1 species